CCAGGAAUGGCCUGCAUCUAGGUAUUUCUUAUCUAUUAAAUUGAUCACACCCCUUACAGGGUUGGAACAUUAAAAAAAGAUGCUAUUAAAUGCAUGCAGACUGUUAGAUGCAUACAUUCAUGAAUGCUCAUAUACCCUAAUGUGUACAUGCAUACUUAGGAAAAUUUACUCGUUUCAAAUCUUGUAGCUCCCUAUUGGAAUUAACCCCAAUGAGGCAGUAUACAAUUGUCUAUCAUGUGUUGAUAGACCCAAUAGUUGUUACAGGGUGUGAAAUCAUAUACCAUGAUGCAUUUUGAAGUAGAACUGGUGAUUGCUACCUUAAUUUUCAUAUAUGAGAGUUGCUAAUAUCUCCUUCAAUGCAGGUUGAGGUUGCUCUGAGAGAUCUUAUACUCUCAGAUUAUGCCAAGAAGAAUAAUAUAAACACCUCGGCACUGACACAGUCUGAAAUUCGUGAUAUAAUACUGGGGUCUAAAAUAACUCCACCUUCACAACAGAGGCAAUAGAUUACGGAGAUUGAGAAGCAUGCGAAAGAAGCAAGCCAACUUAUAGCAGUCACAACAAGGACAACAAUUGUGCACGGCGAUGAACUUAUUGUCACCACAACAAGCCCCUAUGAGCAAGCAGUAUUUCGUUUUAAAAUUGAUUGGCGUGUGUGAGCAAUCUCAGCGACGAAUCUAUAUCUUAGAGUCAAUCAUAUUUAUGUAAACACUGAGGAAAUUAAGGAGACAGGCUACACAUACAUCAUGCCCAAGAACAUUUUGAAGAAGUUUAUUUGCAUAGCAGAUCUUCGGACUCAAAUUGCAGGAUAUUUGUAUGGCAUAAGCCCCGCAAAUAACCCUCAAGUGAAGGAAAUCCGCUAUAUUAGUUAGCAAUUAACAUUAAUAUUUUUUAGCCAACUCAUCAAAUUGAAGAUGUGUAUUGUAAUAAAUAUUAUAUUUUUUAUUGUCUAGUAAUAUAAAUUUUGUUUAAUAUUCAGUUUUAUUUGUAUGACAUCAUUUUUAUGUUUCAAAUAUUUUAAAAAUACAGGUUUCAAUUGAA